rnacentral:snoRNA from 1 species
UGGUCACAUACCAAGGCUUUCAGGAUCCUCCGUUCCUGACUCGCUGUGGACUUGACCAUAAAACAAAAACCAUCCCAGUGGGUCUCUGACGGCGCGGGCCUCUGCAGACUCACUGGGAACACGA